rnacentral:rRNA from 1 species
UACGUAGGGGGCAAGCGUUGGUCCGGAAUCAUUGGCGGUAAGAAGCGUGUAGGCGGCCCGGUAAGUCUGUUGUGAAAGUCCAGGGCUCAACCCUGGAAAGCCGAUGGAUACUGCCGGGCUAGAGUUCGGAAGAGGCGAGUGGAAUUCCUGGUGUAGCGGUGAAAUGCGCAGAUAUCAGGAAGAACACCCGUGGCGAAGGCGGCUCUCUGGGAACGGUACUGACGCUGAGACGCGAAAGCGUGGGGAGCAAACAGG